rnacentral:ncRNA from 2 species
UUCCGUAGGUGAACCUGCGGAAGGAUCAUAA